rnacentral:rRNA from 1 species
GAUGAACGCUGGCGGCGUGCCUAAUACAUGCAAGUCGAGCGAACGGACGAGAAGCUUGCUUCUCUGUUGUUAGCGGCGGACGGGUGAGUAACACGUGGAUAACCUACUUAUAAGUCUGGGAUAACUUCGGGAAACCGUAGCUAAUACCGGAUAAUAUUUUGAACCGCAUGGUUCAAAAGUGAAAGACGGUCUUGCUGUCACUUAUAGAUGGAUCCGUGCUGCAUUAGCUAGUUGGUAAGGUAACGGCUUACCAAGGCAACUAUGCAUAGCCGACCUGAGAGAGUGGUCGCCCACACUGGAACGGAGCCACGGUCCAGACGCCUAAGGGAGGCAGCAGUAGGGAAUCUUCCGCAAUGGGCGGAAGCCUGACGGAGCGGCGCCGAGUGAGUGAUGAAAGUGUUCGGAUCGUAAAACUCUGUUAUUAGGGGUGAACAGAUUUGUAAGUAACUGUACACAUAUUGACGGUACCUGAUCAAAAAGCCCCGGCUAACUACGUG